rnacentral:tRNA from 1 species
UGGCCUAGUGGUUAAGGCUAUGGAUCGCCAAUCCGGAAACGGUGGGUUCGAUUCCCGU